rnacentral:lncRNA from 1 species
AAGCCGUCCCCAUUGAUCAAUUCUUCCUUCUGACAAAGGAGCCAAUCUGUGAGGACAAGCAUCGGCAAAGACUCUCCAUUCAUUCUCAUUCCUGUCCCACCAAACCACGACAUCAAGCCCCAACACUUUCUUUGCAUGGGGGACUCUCUUGUCCAAAUCACACACCGGCAUCAAUGGAUACCACUGUGAGAACCAAUCAAAUUUUUCCUCUUGUGAGUUAGUUUCAGGCUCUGUCUCUGGUGGGUCUGUGGCUUCAGUUGAAACUUGAGAUGAUGGUGAUAAGGUGGUGAAGAGUUUGGAUGGUUUUGAUGAGAAAGAUGAUAAAGUGGAUAGUGGACUGAAGUGGAAGCUUAAGAGCUUGGGCUUAGCAGUGAAGUGGGUUCUGUUGUACUUAAGUUUUAAUGGAGUGUUAUAAAAUGGUGAAACUGAGGAGAGUAAGAGAGCUUCCAUGGCUGCAUGCAACACCUUACUCUGCACAAAAAUCGAGAUCAAGCAAGGUUAGAACUCGAGAUAAUUAUAGCUAAUUGCGAAUGAACGUGCGCCACAUGAGUCAUGAUCAGUGGACUCUGACCGUGACGCUGAAAAGUCCAACAUAAAUUAAUGCGUCUCUUAUGUUUGUGUCUUUCAUUUCAUUUCCUUGUAGUUGAAUCAGUCAACAUUUGUUGAGUCCAACUGAAUAAGUCAGGAGUCGUUGAGUGAUUUAAUAGCGCUAUACAAGUAGUGUGAAUGGAUGCCACAAAAUUAUUCAAUAGCUAAGCCGUUUUAUUUGACUGCUACGGGGGCCAAGGCUCCUCACUAUGCUAAACAGCCUCCGUAGAUUAUCUGCCAUCGAAAAUUCGCCGGAAAAAAAGAGAACGUCCCCUCAGUACCAGAUUCAAUUUUUAUUUGUUCAUGUAUGAGGAUAAUGAGAUGAGUUGGCUAGCUUUUGCAAAAUAUUUGUAGAGUAAUUGUUAAGGUCAAAAUUAUGUUUUAGGAUUUCUUUUUUUUUAUUAUUAUUAUUUGAAAAUUGGAAUUUUAUUUAAGAAAAAAGCAUAAUUUUAUCAAAUUAUAAUUAUGUUUGUGUAAGGCGACGCAUUUACUCGAUUUAUAAGUUUUGUUGAAUUUUUAUUAAUUUUCUUUUGGCACUUUAAAACAAACAUUUUACAUUUUUUUUUUAUAUUUUGUAAUAUUUAUGGAAAACAUUCUGUAUGAAGAACAUUUUUGCAUCUCUUUACUAGCGUACAUGCAUUAUUCAUGGUUAAGUUACACCUAAAUUAAUGGGUGAAUUGCAUUUUUCCUUGAGAAUUAAUAUUAGACAUGCAAAAUUAUGAACUUUUUAAUUUUAUGGGCAACAAUGUUGACUAUAUAAAUGAGAUGGUUUUUAGUUACAACUAAAUGAAUUAUUUUGGAAGCGUAUGUUUAACUAAUUAGACUAAAAUUAAUUUCAAAAAUAAAAACUUGACUUGUUUUGGUCAAAAUUGACUAAAAUUAAUUUCUAUUAUCUUAGUCAUGUAGGACAUGCAUAAGAUAAUGGACUAUUUUUACUAUAAAUUAUGUUGAAAUAAUGUAUCGUAUGUGUUAAGUCACCGACCAUAUUAAGUAGUUAAUGAUACGAUUCAACAUUACUAGUAAUAUCAUGGUAAAUGAAAAUAUCACCUAAUAAUUAAAGUUUUAAAUUCCUCUCAGAAAUUAAAAAAAAAAUUGAAUUAGCAGGUGUGACUUUUCUUUUGAAAUGACAUUACAUGAACUAGCAUUGCUAAUCAAAACAUAUCAUAAAUUGAAAUAAAUUUCUUUUCUUUUUUUUUCUUCUCUAUAACUUUUGCUCAUUUACAUUGAAGACCCAAAUAGUCGCUGGUGUGGGCUCGGCUGCGGAGCCCACGCCAGAUUUUGGAUAGAAAUCAUCAAAGGCUAAAAGUAGACCAUCUCAUUUGUCAAUUUCCACCAUUUUCUUAAGUAAAUAUAUACUUUGUAUCAUUAGUAAUGUGUCAUUAGCAAUUAAUUGACAUGUCUUAGCCUCUUAGGCGCCAAUUGGUUUUAGCUUUCAUUAUUGAUAAGAUAAUAUUACAUCACCAAUUAAAUGUUGACACAUCAUUGUUCAUAUCAUUUGGGGUGUAAAUUAUUUAUUCCAAUUGUAUAUUUGUAGCAUAACUCUUUCUUAUAUACACCUACUUAGAAGUUCUUUAAUCUAUUUUUUUCUUAUAUCUUCAAGCAAGAAUAUUAAAAGGACAUUGUCGUUGGAUUUCGAUUCAUGCUUUUACAGUCUUCUAGUAAAGAAAAAAGAUCGAGAAAAGAUAAUGGAAAUUUAUAUAUCAACAGCCAAUUGAAUAAGGAAUGAGAUCAACUAAAAAAAAACAGUAGCAGAAGUAGUCCAAUAACUAUUUUAUAAAUUUAGGAAAAGAAUAAAAUGUAUAUAGACUCAUCUUCCCUUUAAAAUACUUGUUUGGUAUAAUUUAUCUAACGGCUAUAAGUACUUAUUUAAUUUUAUAAGCUCUUUUUAAAUUAGUUAUUAGUGUUUUUUUAGUUGAUCUUUUUGAGUUCAAAUAAGUUAAUUUGUCUCCAUUAACAAAAUCUGGAAUUUGAGCUUUUAUGAAUGAAGAUUAAAGAACUUUUAAAUAUAUAUAUCAACAAUACCUGAAGAACAUUUCAUUAAUUACAUAAUACCCUUAUUUAUAUAUAAAACCUACAUAAUAACAAUUAAUUGCCACCAUUUGAUAAAAAACUAAUUGCUGCUACUUCUUUUUUUUUUUUUUUAUUCUAAUGAGAUUGCUACUGCUUUACUUAUUUUAUAAAAAACCUUACACAAAAUAAAUUAUUGCCAUCAUUUGAUAGAAAACUCAUUGUCACAACUUUGGUGAGGUGCAUAGCAGGUAUCGAUGUUUCCCUCAUCACUGUUAAAAUAAAUCUAGUUUAUUAGAAAUAUGAUGAACACAUUUCACUAUGCUACUAUUUGAUAUUUGAUACUUGCUACAGUUUUCAUUCUUCUUUUUAUUAUCUUAUUCAAGAAUGCAUGCCAAUUAUUAAUUUAUAUUUGAAAUUCAUUUCAUCUUCAUUUUAUUUGUGCAUUAUGUUUUUCAUGUAAUAAUAUUACAUAUCCUUUGUCUAGAAUCGUAACUGUUGCAAAGGAAAAGUAAAUCAAAGGCAGAUUGGGAUGAUGUUACCACUGGUGCUUUUAUUAAGAUUUGUAUGAGUGAGACAUUAGCUUGGAAUCAAACCAAAUAGUCACUUUAAUAUGAUUGGGUGGAAAAGUCUCGUUGCUAAUUUUUAUUCUAUGACCAAUGGAGAUUAUGAAUAGAAACAUUGAAAAAUAAGUGGGACAUCCUAAAAUAGAUUGGCAACUUUGGACAAACUUGCUGAGAAUGAAAUUGGUUUAGGAUGGGAUGUUGUAAAACAGACAAAUACUACUAGCGAUGACUGAUGGGAGAGAGGAUUGAAGUUGCAAAUUCUAACCUUCUUAUUUUUUGGUGUACUAGGAAAUGAUUUUAGGAGCAAUUUAGACAUAUUUUUUAACGCAUAAUCCUUUUGUAUUAUUGUAGGAGAUUCUCAAAACAAUUAAAAUUCGUUAUAAAGGCUUGAGAAAUGUUGACCAAUUAGAAAUUUUGUUUAAAGAUAUUGUUGCGCCAUCUAUGGGUUUUGUACCAAAUGAUGGUGAUAUUUAACCAUCUAAUUAAUAUGCUAGUAAAUAUAAUAAUACAUAUUUUUAGGAGAAGAAUGUCAAUAUUGAACUAACUAAUUUUGAUGGGUUAGAAAAUAUUGAGACUACACAUGAUAACGGAAGGAAAAGAAAAUUAUCAAUUGGAGUAAAUUAGUGUGUAAUGAGUUAGACUUUUGCAAAAAUUUUGUAGAGUAAUUAUUAAGGUCACAAUUUUGUUUUGGGAUUUCUUUUUUUAAUUAUUUAAACAAUGGAAUUUUAUUUAAGAAAGGUAUAAUUUUAUCAACCUGGGUGUUAGGAACUUUUUUUAAUAGAAUAUGUGUUAGGAUUCUAAUUAUAUGAAGUAGUGAAAUUCUAAUCUUAUGAAAUUAUUGAAAAACAAAACAACUAAUUCUUUAAAUUGUGGAUUGAUUUCUCGCAAUUGAUUCAAAUUAGCCUUUUAUAUUCAUGGCGUAUGACACUGUGUCCAAAUCACCCACCAACAUCACUAGAUACCAUUGUGAAAACUAGUAAAAAUGUUCUUCUUGUGUUCAUUCUGAAGCCGUGGUUCAGUUGUGUAUACGUUUUCUCUUGCAAUUGUUAAUGGUGAUGAUAAUGUACUUACAAUUACAACUGCUAAUGGUGAUGAUAAUUAUAUGUUUUCUAUUACAACUGCACUUUCUAAUUUCACUUGAUCAAAAUGUUUGCAUACAAGCUACAUUCCAGUAUUUACGUACAGAAAAAUAAGUUGUAUUUACAUAUUCUAAUUUUCGACGUUAAAUGCUAAGCUCAGCGAAGGGCAUGAUUGUAGUCAUGAUAAUGAAAGGUUUUGUAGAUGAAGUGAGACAACCAUUUUGAAGCCGCAAAGCAGAUUACUGCAAAUGAGAUGAUUGUAGUUCUUGUAGCCAUUGACAUGGCAUUCUGCUUGGUUGUAGCAACAAUCCCAAUUGAAGCAAUGGAGACGACUUGUAGCGUGACCUCAAGUGCGCUGAGACUCUUGUGUGCCGCAUUGCAACUUUUGCAAUUCACCACAUGAGACCAGUACCUGCAAAUUUGAAUAAAAUUCCUUUAAUUAAGUACGAAAUCUUAUGUUUUAAUGGGGUCACAACAAACUUCACAGUGUUCCCGUUUUCAAGGCAUUGCAUAAGAAAUUUGGCAAAACACAAAAGAAAAUGUUUCUCAAGCUUGAAGAAACAAAUAAUGCUUCUUUUAAAUAUCCAUAAACCUCUGCUCUUUAUAUGAGUUUCAAAACUGGGAACUACUGUAAAAUCCCAUGACAUGGUGUUAAGGGGUUCAAGUUUAUAAAAGUGAAGCCCAGAUACCUGUCCAUGAGCUGUUCCCUGGGCGGUGUUGGUGGAAGAGUCGCAUUGAAUUUCCCUCCCCAAUUGAAUUGGCCACCGGCAUAUUUUUUUAACCACCUCCUGAAACCAACUACCAGGGCAUCGGCUUUUGUUGGCACAAAACAAGCUUUCUGCCAAUUAGCAGGGCCAACAUCCAUUAUCUUUCGCUCCUGCAGAGAGAAACAGAAGUCAGGUAAUUCACAGCCAGAAACAAGAAAGAAUCUAUUAAAUUCUUCUAUUGUAGGAGAGUAGUAUUUAAGUGAAUACCUUCUAUUGAGAAGAAAAACAAAAAUAUGCUUUUUGGAUGGUGUCACAACCAAUCUAGUAAAAUGAAAUGGUCGACGAGUCUCAAAUCUGAGUUUGAGGCCUAGACUAGCAGUAGACUUGAACGCCAAUCCACUCAGCAUUUUCAAAAAACUUUAGGUUAAAAUUAUUUUAGCAUACAGAGACAGGAAUCACCUCAACGUGAAGCAGGUAUAAAUCUGAAUCAAGAAUUAGAUUCUGUCCAAUAUGAAAUAUCCACCGCGGAACAACUUUGUCUAUCCAAGUUUGAAAGUUUCUUGGGAACGCCCAUAUUAAUCUGCUGUGACCAGGACUAACUGGAACACAAAUAAAAAUCAGAGCUGCUCUUUGUUGCUCCAGCUUCUGCACCAACCGAAAUGUAUAUGGAUAAAAGAAAGCCCAAACAGCAUAGAAUAAGAACUGAAAAGAGUGCAAAAUUCUACUGUCAGCUGAGCAUAAUGAAACAUAUUGACCUUUACCUUUUCGGCUCCUGCUGAUGAUGCAGAUCCAUUUUCUUGAUCCUUCAUAAGAUCAGUAUAAGCAAAAAAGAUACAAGGUGCCAAAAAUUUGCUACUUCCCCACUCCUGCUUUCCAAUGAAACCAUUUAUGUCUAUUUUAUUGACACUCAUUUCAACUGGUCUUCCCCCUUCUCUAUCGAGCUUCACUGUAAAGAAAAUUUAGUAUUAACUAAUAGGUUUUAUUCACGAAGAGAAUAUAAAUGACUUAAACGUAGAACAAGGUUUAUCUAGGAAUUUAUCAACCUUUGGGUUUCCUUGUACGCAUCAAUCCGUAAUGUGCAUAUGGAACAUGAGCAGGGUCCAUAAGAUUUUCCAAUAAGACCUCAUAACUGAAAAUGCAACUUACUUGCAAUUAGAAAAAGUUGUUAACUUGCAUUGACCAGGUUGUCAUUACACUUAAGUUCAACUAGUUUUCUUAAUGACUCUUGCCAAAUAUCAGUAUAGUACAAAUUCAAUCUAGAAUUUCGUGUGCUAACUCGCUCAAAUUAAAAUGGAAGACUGGAUCAUUGCAUACCCAUAAGGUAUAUCUCUGUUCCCAAACAAUUUUGUGAAUGACGGGUCAUCUAGUUCCGGGAUGUGAGGAGGUUUCUUAGUCUUGAUAAUAUCCUUGUACCGAGGAGCAAUAUUUGGCCAAAACCAUACGAUGUCAUGCUGGACGGUACUUGGAUAAACUGCUGCACAUGCUUUCUCGAAUGUGUGGACCUACAUAUUUUGACAAAUAAGUUGGUAAAAAUUAAAGCAAUCAGCCACCCAGCAAAGUAGAAAUCUUAACAACUGCAUGCAAGAACAAAAAAUCAAAACUAGAUUGCAGAAAAAUCAAAACAAAAUUUUAUCAAGCAAGCAAUGGAAUCAUAAUUCAUGUAUUCCCCUUAUCUUUCAUUGUUCCUUCACAAUUAAACUGAAGAUGAGAGGUGUGGCGGCUUUACCAAACAUUUAAUUAGCUACUGCUCUUUCAGAAUUAAACGUAUCCCCUUGGAAUUAGACCCUUGACCUAUUUUAUUACUUCCAGUCUGUAAGUCCUUCCGGGAUAGCUUUCGGGCAAAAAACGCGCUGAAGCGCAACAAUUAUAAACAAACAAACUCUAUGCCUAGAAGAGAUUCUAAUUGGACAAAACUAUAGCAUCUCACUCUACACAUAAGCGAGACAACCGCAAAAGCAUCUAUAGCAACACAAAACAUAAUAAAACAUAUGAAUGUGAUGCAAAAGUGAAGCAAUAGAUGUUACCGGGGGGCCGUCUGGGGGAGCCUGAGGGAUAAAUUUACAGUCACCCGAGCCACUGAAGCACCAGCCAUGAUACACACACUGAAGCCUUCCCCAUUGAUCAAUUCUUCCUUCUGACAAAGGAGCCAAUCUGUGAGGACAAGCAUCAGCAAAGACUCUCCAUUCAUUCUCAUUCCUGUCCCACCAAACCACGACAUCAAGCCCCAACACUUUCUUUGCAUGAGGGACUCUCUUGUCCAAAUCACACACCGGCAUCAAUGGAUACCACUGUGAGAACCAAUCAAAUUUCUCCUCUUGUGAGUUAGUUUCAAGCUCUCUUUCUGGUG